rnacentral:rRNA from 1 species
GACGAACGCUGGCGGCGUGCUUAACACAUGCAAGUCGAACGGAAAGGCCCUGCUUUUGUGGGGUGCUCGAGUGGCGAACGGGUGAGUAACACGUGAGUAACCUGCCCUUGACUUUGGGAUAACUUCAGGAAACUGGGGCUAAUACCGGAUAGGAGCUCCUGCUGCAUGGUGGGGGUUGGAAAGUUUCGGUGUUUGGGGAUGGACUCGCGGCUUAUCAGCUUGUUGGUGGGGUAGUGGCUUACCAAGGCUUUGACGGGUAGCCGGCCUGAGAGGGUGACCGGCCACAUUGGGACUGAGAUACGGCCCAGACUCCUACGGGAGGCAGCAGUGGGGAAUAUUGCACAAUGGGCGGAAGCCUGAUGCAGCAACGCCGCGUGCGGGAUGACGGCCUUCGGGUUGUAAACCGCUUUCGCCUGUGACGAAGCGUGAGUGACGGUAAUGGGUAAAGAAGCACCGGCUAACUACGUG